UACGGAGGGUGCGAGCGUUAAUCGGAAUAACUGGGCGUAAAGGGCACGCAGGCGGACUUUUAAGUGAGGUGUGAAAUCCCCGGGCUUAACCUGGGAAUUGCAUUUCAGACUGGGGGUCUAGAGUACUUUAGGGAGGGGUAGAAUUCCACGUGUAGCGGUGAAAUGCGUAGAGAUGUGGAGGAAUACCGAAGGCGAAGGCAGCCCCUUGGGAAUGUACUGACGCUCAUGUGCGAAAGCGUGGGGAGCAAAC
rnacentral:rRNA from 2 species